rnacentral:rRNA from 1 species
GUCCACGCCGUAAACGAUGGAUACUAGCUGUUGGGAGCGAUCUCAGUGGCUAAGCGAAAGUGAUAAGUAUCCCACCUGGGUAGUACGUUCGCAAGAAUGAAACUCAAAGGAAUUGACGGGGCCGCACAAGCGGUGGAGCAUGUGGUUUAAUUCGAUGAUACGCGAGGAACCUUACCAAGGCUUAAAUGUAGAUUGACCGGUUUGGAAACAGAUCUUUCGCAAGACAAUUUACAAGGUGCUGCAUGGUUGUCGU